rnacentral:lncRNA from 1 species
UGUGGACCCGGGCGGGCAUAAGGCGGAAGGUGGCCAACUUGUGUGAUAUAGGGUCUGCCGACCAUGCCGGUAUUGCUGCUGGGGUGUGGGACGGUUUUCGGUGGGCAGCUGUGGUGUGUUCCCCGUUCUCGGUAUGUAUUUGUAUGUCCGAGGGGUGAGGGCUUUCUUUGGAGCUUUGCUCUGGCUUCAGCAAUGGGCCCGGGGUGUUAUCGGAGAGGCUUUCGGGUGGAGUGUGCUCUUCCUGUGACUGUUGGUCCCCAUUCCAAAUUACGCAUGUGUCAUCUGCGUAUCGCUGAUAUGGUUUGGUACUUGGCGUAAAAUGCUGUGGGGCACUUGACUCCUUAUAUCGAAU